UUAGAGUAGUGGAAAUUGAACAAUAUGUGUUAGUGAUUGAUUAUAUGUGUAAUAUUAAGCUUCCUGAAUGUUAUUAAGCGUGACUAAUGGUUUUUCCUUAUUUGAUACGUAGUAUUUUUUUUUUCCUUUAGGAGAAAAGAAGGGCUGUCUUUUUCGAUUGAGAACUUAUGAAAUCUGGUGUAGACAAAUAGUGCUUCCUAUCCUAAGUUAUUUUUUGAUAUUCCUUUGCUACUUCUUUCCUUGGCUAAUGGGAAAAAAAUCCUUCUUUUUACUCUGCCUCGCGCCAUCCAUAAAUGCGUUGUUUAGCUCAGAUGUCCGCUCAUCUGGCAAGUUGGCAGCAACCACUUCCUCCCUCUUUGUGUAGAAAAGCUUCUGAAAUCCUAUUAGU
rnacentral:lncRNA from 1 species